rnacentral:tRNA from 4 species
GCGGGUGUAGCUCAGUGGUAGAGCACAACCUUGCCAAGGUUGGGGUCGUGGGUUCGAAUCCCAUCACCCGCUCCA